ACGGGAGGCAGCAGUGGGGAAUAUUGCACAAUGGGCGCAAGCCUGAUGCAGCGAUGCCGCGUGAGGGAAGAAGGUUUUCGGAUUGUAAACCUCUGUCAACAGGGACGAUAAUGACUGUACCUGUGAAGGAAGCUCCGGCUAACUACGUGCCAGCAGCCGCGGUAAUACGUAGGGAGCAAGCGUUAUCCGGAAUUACUGGGUGUAAAGGGAGUGUAGGCGGGACUGUAAGUCAGAUGUGAAAUAUGCCGGCUCAACUGGCAGACUGCAUUUGAAACUGCGGUUCUUGAGUGAAGUAGAGGUAAGCGGAAUUCCUAGUGUAGCGGUGAAAUGCGUAGAUAUUACAUAGAACACCGAUCGCGAAGGCGGCUUACUGGACGACAACUGACGCUGAGGCUCGAAAGCGUGGGGAGCAAACAGGAUUAGAUACCCUGGUA
rnacentral:rRNA from 1 species